GCGGUCCCGCCCCUUACCCCGGAAGCACUCGCUGCAGGCGGAGAUUUCUGGGCUUCUUCGCUAGACGCACUUCCUUUUUGUCCGACAUCUUAGGGAGGCGAGGUGGUGGCAGUUGCUUUCCCGGCUUCGCUAUGCCGCCCAAGGAUGACAAGAAGAAGAAGGAUGCCGGAAAGUCGGCCAAGAAAGACAAAGACCCAGUGAACAAGUCUGGGGGCAAAGCCAAAAAGAAGAAGUGGUCCAAAGGCAAAGUUCGGGACAAGCUCAAUAACCUAGUCUUGUUUGACAAAGCAACAUAUGACAAACUCUGUAAAGAAGUUCCCAACUAUAAGCUUAUAACUCCAGCUGUUGUCUCUGAGAGACUGAAGAUUCGUGGCUCCCUGGCCAGGGCAGCCUUGCAGGAGCUCCUUAGUAAAGGACUUAUUAAACUGGUUUCAAAGCACAGAGCUCAAGUAAUUUACACCAGAAAUACUAAGGGUGGAGAUGCUCCAGCUGCUGGUGAAGAUGCAUGAACAGGUCCCACCAGCUGUAUAUUUGGAAAAAUAAAACUUUAUUAAAUCAAA